UUUGCACAUGAGGUACCGAUGGAAACAACUACUUUGAAGGAAUCUGAUGCUUCAGUUCACCAUUUGGGAGAUCUAAGAGGCAUUCUCUCUCUGCAAGAAAAUUUGCAAUCUGAUACAAAUAUCUUCUCAUUUACUGCAUGGAAAAUCAGAUAAAAAAAGGAAGCAUCUUAGAUUGACAUCCACGAAGUUCAGCAGGUACGUAUAUAUUUUUAUAUAUUUGGUUUGAUGCUCCAUUGUAUCCCAUAUAUAGUUGAACUUCAGAGAAGGUCAGGUAAUCGAAUGGACUCCAAAAUCGUUGAGACCUCCGAAAUGACU